rnacentral:tRNA from 1 species
GCGUUGAUGGGGUAGUGGUAACCUUGGUCGUUGCCACCCGUCUCGACCAGCCGGGGGUUCGAUUCCCUCUCAACGCA